CCAUACAAUUUUCAAAUGAACCAAAACGUCACUCUGUAUGCAUUCAUCAAGAUCUUUCAUAAAGUUUUGAGCCCCUUACACCAACCAUGCUUUCUGUACUCCAAAAUGUUACAGUGCCAUCAGAUUCGAGUCAGCUGGAAAGAUCUGAACAGCACAGUAGCCAAACUGCGGCAAUUGUUUUUAUUUUAUUUUAAAUGUUAAGCAUACUUAAAAUAUAUACUCGGAUUCAAUUGACUGUGAAAUGUAUAAAAGUAUAAAAUAUAAUUGCUUAAUGGACAUGUAGUUGAGAUUAUACGAGAUAAUGCCGCUUUUCCACUGCAUGGUACCAGCUCGACACGACUCGACUCGACUCAGCUCGCAUUUUUUGCGUUUCCACCGCGAAAACAUGGUAUCUGGUACCUGAAGUGGCUGCUUUUUCUAGUACCGCCUCGCUCUAGGUUCCAAGCGGCUGAGCCGAUGCUAAAAGGUGACGUCGGCACUCGGCAGACGGCCGGCCACUGAUUGGCCAGAGAGUGUGACGAAGUCACGAGAGCGACAUGGCAAACAUGCUGGUAACAGCAAUAGCAGCGCCGCAGCCAACAUAUUCCACUUCUUCAACUUCUUCAACAUGCCAGCUAAUAAUAGUAAUGUUAUCGAUGUCCUCCAUUGUUGUUAUGUGGGUUCUCUCCAUGUGUGGGUUGCGUAGGUGUUGUUUGCGUCGUGUACAAAAAUACGUCACGGCCCUUUCGCGCAGCCGACCCCGCCCACGUCCAGGAGCUGUAGUGUGCUGCAGUGAUGGGUCUGACUUUGAGUCAGACACAGUACACCAGCCUACUAAAAGAGUAGCAGCUCAAGGUUCUUCAGUAGCUCCAACAGCUAUUUCAUCUUUGAAGCGCAGCAAACAAUAAAACGUUGUCUGGAAGCGAAAGCUGGAGAAUGCGAAAGAAAAAAUAAAGUCAUUAGAGAAUGAAAGGGACUUCUUAAGGAACCAACUGUCUGAGGGUAAUCGAUAAUGAAAAAUUAUUUAAAUAAACAGUAUUAGGAUUUAUUGGCAUCUGAUGGAUUUAAGGCAAAAAAACACACAACAACCCCUACAGAUUUUCUCAUUCUCAUCUCAAUUGCUUGCAGAGCCCACAUGUCUUUGCUGAAGUAAACAAUUGCAUCACAUUAACAGUCAUUUGGCAUCAAAACAUUUCAAUAACCAUACCAUAUAAGACAGGCACCACCAAAUGGCGGGCCUGGGCCGGACCCAGACACCACACCAUCCUUCAGUCCCGAUCAAAAACCCUGAGAGGACAGGCUACUGCCUACUUCUCUCACUGAACAAGAAGAGACAGUGGAGGGGUGGGAUUGAGGAGGAAAAACGUUAAAUGUGUUCAGGUUGUUUAUUGGGGGCCAAGCAUUGAAUUUGUAUCCCUUCUUAUUUAACCCUAACCCUCUUUUUUUAUUCAACCAUUGAAGUCCAUGGGAGCCCAUAGAACUGUAUGUUGAAAAGUAAUGAAAUUUGGUACACUGGUAGACGGUUGUGCAAGGAGGCCAUGGCGUGAAUUUCAUGUUGAUUGGCCAAAAGGUAGCACUUUAGCUAACAGGAGGAGGCAGUAUAUGAUGCCAAAGGUGUGCUGCAGAGACCUCAUUGUUUACUGUACAUUGUAUGGCCUGAACAGCCAGGAACUCGCAGAUCUUUUCAUCCAUUAUUAUUAAUUAUGCACUUUGAUACAUUUGGGCAUAAUGUAAAAUACUUUUAAGUUUCACUUUUGACUUGUGAUGGCAGCUAACAAGUGAUGGUCACAGCUAAGGGCUGCAUGGCAGUUUAGAAAAAAUAGAUUUUUGUCUUGCAGCCUCUAUUUUCAUUAAGGUGGAAGCAUCUGAUUGUGUCUUUUCUAUGCCAUACCAAAAAUCGAAUCACUCUACCCUAAAGUGGGGGAGCCCAGGUGUACAUUUAAGUAUAAGUAUAACGCUAGAAUGAUUGGGAGUGAGUGAUAAUUUCACACCCCUAUUGGUAACACUAGUAACGUGCUUAUCGGGUUGCGUCUUGCUUAUUUCAGCUUUGGCGCUUGCAAAUAAAGAGGACCAAGUGACAGCAGCGCCCUCCUUGCACGAAAAGAGUAUUGAAAAAUCCUCUUCAUCUUCCUCCUCCACCUCCUCCUCAUCCUCCUCCGACAGUUCCUCCUCUUCCUCAUCAUCUUCUUCAGAAAGAGGGAAGAAGAAGAAGAAGAAGAAGAAGAAGAAGAAGAAGAAGAAGAAGAAGAGCAACAACAAAAAAGACAGCAAGAAAAAAAAAGGGAAGAAAGGAAACAAAAAGAACACCAAGAUAGGAAAGAGAGGUACGUUGGCAACCAGGGGAUAAGGCGGAGUACAUCUGUGGUGUACUACAGUUAUCACCUUUGAAAUGCCUAACCCAGUCUUUGUUCCAACUUCCAACAAAUAUUACUGACCACUGUAUAUAAAGGAAAAGCCUGCCUACAAAUGCUAUGUUAUGGAUCAAUCAGCUGGUUGAUCAGCUGGUCCCAAGUCUGCUUAUAAUAUCAAAGCCACGUCUGAACAUGGCUUUCAAAUAACACUUAACGAUAUAAUUGACUUAUUCUACCACUUAUCUAAACUAUACAGUGCUUCCACUUUACUCUCUAAUUGUGCUCAUUUGAUUUAUAAUAACCUAUUGUUAAGAGUACAGAUAAUACUACUCGAAUAAACAGUACACUCACAGAACUCUUGAUACUACUGGAAAUUUAAUAAUAAUUAUUAUUAUACCUCUGUACACUAUAUAACACUAAUACAAGAAUAGUAUUAAUACUAGUAAACCCCUAACCAACUGCACCAUCAUCCUGACAAAAUACUACUGUUAAUUACAGUUAACACAUGUUUAUAUUUUCUUUGUUUCAGUCCUCACCCCAGAAGAGUCCAUGGAUCGCUACAGGCGCGUCUUUGUAGCAGUGAAAAAGGGCAUGACAAAAACUGAGGCACACGUCAAAGUCGGGGUUGACCGAAAAACGGUGGCAGCAACGGCCGCCAUUUCGGAGCUACAGGCUGUUGACAAGGACCUGUAUGACCAGCUGAGGGCAUCAAUGCCCAAGGGAGAGACACUUUAUCUUUUUUCGGCAAAAUGUAAUCUAGAAAUACUUGGCAGGAACCUUCAGGAUAAGGUGAAUGAAAAAAAAAGCAACGGGGAACUUUUGCAAAUUGGACACCGGGCAUAGUAAAGAAGAGAGCAGGUUUUUGUUUUGUUUUUAGGGUGCCUUUUUUUUGUUCCAUUUUAAAAUGCCCUUUUUUUGGUUGAUUUGUUCAGUGACAUCAAGAAAUGCCUUGUUAAAAGUGCAGCCUUUAUUUUUGUUCCAUUUUAAAAAGCCUUUUUUUGUUUCUGUUUGUGUUUUAAAUUGUUAAUAUUUUCUGUAUUACCCCGUUAUUAUGUUAUUAUUAUGUUAAAAAUGUUUAACUAAAGUGGCUGUAGAUCCCUCAUUGUCAUCAACAGUGGUUUGGCGUUUUAUAACUAACCCUAAAGUGCUUCACUACUGGUAAACGAAUGAUUCAAAAAGCUUCACUACUGGUAAACGAAUGGUUGAAAAAGCUUAACUACUGGUGAACAAAUGGUUCGCGAAAGAGUAACAACUCAGUAUGAUGCAUUACUUUACAUGAAGGUACACAAAAAGCUUCACUACUGGUAAACGAAUGAUUAAAAAAGCUUCGCUACUGGUAAACGAAUGGUUGAAAAAGCUUAACUACUGGUGAACGAAUG
ensembl:lncRNA